AACGAACGCUGGCGGCAGGCUUAACACAUGCAAGUCGAACGAACGUAGCAAUACGUUAGUGGCGCACGGGUGAGUAACACGUGGAUAUCUGCCUUUUGGUUCGGGAUAACCCUGGGAAACUAGGGCUAAUACCGAAUGGUUCCUACGGGAUAAAGAUUUAUCGCCAAAAGAUGAGUCCGCGUCCGAUUAGCUAGUUGGUGGGGUAAUGGCUCACCAAGGCGACGAUCGGUAGCUGGUCUGAGAGGACGAUCAGCCACACUGGGACUGAGACACGGCCCAGACUCCUACGGGAGGCAGCAGUGGGGAAUAUUGGGACAAUGGGGGCAACCCUGAUCCAGCCAUGCCGCGUGAGUGAUGAAGGCCUUC
rnacentral:rRNA from 1 species